CCUUGCAAACAUUAGCCAUCCUCGGUACAAUAACUUCCGAGCUGGUCCGCCGAUGCAUGGUGAGCUUGUCCUUCUGUACUCUCCCUUAUUGUUUGGUGCGUUUCAGCUCUUUCCAGUAAGAAGCCAUCAUUUUCAGUGUAAACUCCAACUCGCUCCUACAAAAUUGACAACU